UAUGUGAUCGUCUCUCGCAUAUCAAUAAGCGGAGGAAAAGAAAAUAACAAUGAUUUCCCUAGUAACGGCGAGUGAAGAGGAAAGAGCUCAAAGUUGGAAACUGUUUGGCUUAGCUAAACCGUAUUGUAAACUGUAGAAACAUUUUCCUGGCACGCCGGAUUAAUAAGUCCUUUGGAACAAGGCAUCAUGGAGGGUGAGAAUCCCGUCUUUGAUCCGAGUAGUUGUCUUUUGUGAUAUGUUUUCAAAGAGUCAGGUUGUUUGGGAAUGCAGCCUAAAUUGGGUGGUAAAUCUCACCUAAAGCUAAAUAUUUGCGAGAGACCGAUAGCGAACAAGUACCGUGAGGGAAAGAUGAAAAGAACUUUGAAAAGAGAGUUAAACAGUACGUGAAAUUGUCAAAAGGGAAGCGUUUGACACCAGUGUUGUUUUUCUGAAAAUCAAUUAAAGAACUGUUUAUGCUAAGUUGUUUAGACUUUAUCAGCUAUCUGCUUAGUUUUGAGCUUUUCUUUAAUGCACUUUUCAGUUAACAAGUCAACAUCAAUUUCUUUUGCUGUAAAAAAGCUUGAGGAAGGUGGCUUGAGAUUCGUCUUAAGUGUUUAUAGCCUCUUGCCUAUGCAGUCGGAGAGAUUGAGGUCUGCAGCGUAGAUCCUUCGGGGCUAAAUGCAUUUGUGCUAAGUUAUAACAUUUUAUAGACAACUUGUUGACUAUGAUUUGUCUUGUAGCUUACUCGCUUAUGUUAUUUUACCUACGCUUAGGAUGUUGACACACGCGCGUGCUCG
rnacentral:rRNA from 1 species